UACAGAGGUCCCGAGCGUUGUUCGGAUUCACUGGGCGUAAAGGGUGCGUAGGUGGCGAGGUAAGUCGGAUGUGAAAGCUCGGAGCUCAACUCCGAAAUGGCAUUGGAAACUACCUUGCUCGAGGGUUGGAGGGGGGACUGGAAUACUUGGUGUAGCAGUGAAAUGCGUAGAUAUCAAGUGGAACACCAGUGGCGAAGGCGAGUCCCUGGACAACACCUGACACUGAGGCACGAAAGCUAGGGGAGCAAACAGG
rnacentral:rRNA from 1 species